rnacentral:rRNA from 1 species
AUUGAACGCUGGCGGAAUGCUUUACACAUGCAAGUCGAACGGCAGCACGGACUUCGGUCUGGUGGCGAGUGGCGAACGGGUGAGUAAUGUAUCGGAACGUGCCCAGUCGUGGGGGAUAACGUAGCGAAAAUUACGCUAAUACCGCAUACGAUCUAUGGAUGAAAGCGGGGGAUCGCAAGACCUCGCGCGAUUGGAGCGGCCGAUAUCAGAUUAGGUAGUUGGUGGGGUAAAGGCCCACCAAGCCAACGAUCUGUAGCUGGUCUGAGAGGACGACCAGCCACACUGGAUCUGAGACACGGUCCAGACUCCUACGGGAGGCAGCAGUGGGGAAUUUUGGACAAUGGGCGAAAGCCUGAUCCAGCCAUUCCGCGUGCAGGAUGAAGGCCCUCGGGUUGUAAACUGCUUUUGUACAGAACGAAAAGGUUUCUACUAAUACUAGGAGCUCAUGACGGUACUGUAAGAAUAAGCACCGGCUAACUACGUGCCAGCCGCCGCAGUAA